rnacentral:rRNA from 1 species
UGGUGGAGCGAUUUGUCUGGUUAAUUCCGAUAACGAACGAGACUCUAGCCUGCUAAAUAGGCGUUCCCGGUAUCCACAAUAGUGCUACCGGCGAAUAAAAUUCUUCUUAGAGGGACAGGCGGCUUCUAGCCGCACGAGAUUGAGCAAUAACA